rnacentral:rRNA from 1 species
UUGAACGCUGGCGGUAUGCCUUACACAUGCAAGUCGAACGGUAGAGGGGCAACCCUUGAGAGUGGCGAACGGGUGAGUAAUGCAUCGGAACGUGCCCAGUCGUGGGGGAUAACGCAGCGAAAGCUGCGCUAAUACCGCAUGUGAUCUGUGGAUGAAAGCAGGGGACCGCAAGGCCUUGUGCGAUUGGAGCGGCCGAUGUCAGAUUAGCUAGUUGGUAGGGUAAAAGCCUACCAAGGCGACGAUCUGUAGCUG